UAUGCUGCAUGAUGAGAGGCAAGUUUUUCGCUAACACCACAAGGGUCUCUGGCCCAAUGAGUGGAGUUUGAUAGUAGUUCUUGCUACAGGU
rnacentral:snoRNA from 1 species